GCUGGUUGUAUUUAUUGUGUUCUGUUUGGGUUUCAAAGGAGUAGGUCCAGUAAGACCCCUUUUUGGCCCCAAAAUAUAGCAGUUUUUCAAAAUUGUUAAAAUGUAAACUUUUAGUUAUUUAUUGGACAGAAGAAUGCUUCUGCUACAAAAUGUACAUAAAUAUGGGCUGUUGUUGACAUUACAAUGCACAUAUAUCGGGUAGUAGCACCAUUAAGAAUAAGUCAUGCUAAAUAACUAAAAUCUCCACAAUUCUAGCAUUUAGUUAAAUUUUAGACGGUUUCCAUGUAAAAUGAAAGUGGCCGCAUUCGUGUUCAUCCUUGAUAUUGAAAUGUAAAAGAGGGACGAAAG
rnacentral:lncRNA from 1 species